AGGGUGACAGCCCCGUACACAAAAAUGCACAUGCUGUGAGCUCGAUGAGUAGGGCGGGACACGUGGUAUCCUGUCUGAAUAUGGGGGGACCAUCCUCCAAGGCUAAAUACUCCUGACUGACCGAUAGUGAACCAGUACCGUGAGGGAAAGGCGAAAAGAACCCCGGCGAGGGGAGUGAAAAAGAACCUGAAACCGUGUACGUACAAGCAGUGGGAGCACGCUUAGGCGUGUGACUGCGUACCUUUUGUAUAAUGGGUCAGCGACUUAUAUUCUGUAGCAAGGUUAACCGAAUAGGGGAGCCGAAGGGAAACCGAGUCUUAACUGGGCGUUAAGUUGCAGGGUAUAGACCCGAAACCCGGUGAUCUAGCCAUGGGCAGGUUGAAGGUUGGGUAACACUAACUGGAGGACCGAACCGACUAAUGUUGAAAAAUUAGCGGAUGACUUGUGGCUGGGGGUGAAAGGCCAAUCAAACCGGGAGAUAGCUGGUUCUCCCCGAAAGCUAUUUAGGUAGCGCCUCGUGAAUUCAUCUCCGGGGGUAGAGCACUGUUUCGGCAAGGGGGUCAUCCCGACUUACCAACCCGAUGCAAACUGCGAAUACCGGAGAAUGUUAUCACGGGAGACACACGGCGGGUGCUAACGUCCGUCGUGAAGAGGGAAACAACCCAGACCGCCAGCUAAGGUCCCAAAGUCAUGGUUAAGUGGGAAACGAUGUGGGAAGGCCCAGACAGCCAGGAUGUUGGCUUAGAAGCAGCCAUCAUUUAAAGAAAGCGUAAUAGCUCACUGGUCGAGUCGGCCUGCGCGGAAGAUGUAACGGGGCUAAACCAUGCAC
rnacentral:rRNA from 1 species